CCUACGGGUGGCAGCAGUGGGGAAUAUUGGGCAAUGGGCGAAAGCCUGAUGGAGCAACGCCGCGUGCAGGAUGAAGGCCUUCGGGUUGUAAACUGCUUUUAUAAGCGAGAAAUAUGAUGGUAACUUAUGAAUAAGGAUCGGCUAACUACGUGCCAGCAGCCGCGGUCAUACGUAGGAUCCGAGCAUUAUCCGGAUUGACUGGGUGUAAAGAGUUGCGUAGGUGGCAUAAUAAGUAGCUAGUGAAAUCUGGUGGCUCAACCAUUCAGACUAUUAGCUAAACUGUUAAGCUCGAGACCGUUAGGGGUAACUGGAAUUUCUAGUGUAGGAGUGAAAUCCGUAGAUAUUAGAAGGAACACCAAUAGCGUAGGCAGGUUGCUGGGACGGUUCUGACACUAAGGCACGAAAGCGUAGGGAGCAAACGGGAUUAGAUACCCUGGUAGUC
rnacentral:rRNA from 1 species